rnacentral:rRNA from 1 species
CCCUUAGAUGUUCUGGGCUGCACGCGCGCUACACUGAAGCGUUCAACGAGUAUUCACCUUGCCCGGGAGGGUUGGGUAAUCUUUUGAAAACGCUUCGUGAUGGGGAUAGAUUAUUGCAAUUAUUAAUCUUCAACGAGGAAUUCCUAGUAAGCGCAAGUCAUCAGCUUGCGUUGAUUACGUCCCUGCCCUUUGUACACACCGCCCGUCGCUCCUACCGAUUGAAUGGUCCGGUGAAGCGUUCGGACCGUGGCCUUUGGACGGUUCGCCGUCUGUUGGCUGCGGGAAGUUCGUUAAACCUUAUCAUUUAGAGGAAGGAGAAGUCGUAACA